CUAGCCCAACGAAAUACAAAAAUAAUUGCCAGCCCCUGGAGCACGUCGUCUUAUUUUCCAGCCGCGGCGCACAAGAUAAGGCGAGCGCCCGCGCCCUCGUCUCCCCCACGGCGAGCUCCGCCUCCUGCGUGCGGUCGCCGCCUCCCUCGACCUCCACCAUCUGCUCCCGUGCUCCCCUUCUUCCCCCAUCUCGCGCUGCCAUGGAAGGAAGGGCAUGGCCCUGCGAGCGGCCGCGACGAGGCUCGCGUCCUCCCCAGCCUCCGCCGCCGCCACGGCCACCUCCUGCCGGCAGCCGCCACCAGCUUCAGAUUCAAGCAGGUGCGCGAGGACGAGAAGAGCAAGCUGGUUGGAAAUGGAGAAGAUGUUCAGGUGCGGCGCGACGGGCGGAGCAGCAGAGGUUCAGGCGCCGCGCGGCGGGCGGAGCAGGAGAGGUUCAGGGGAGGUGCCAGCGGAGCAGGAGAGGUUCAUGGGCGGUGGAGCAGGAGAGGUUCAUGGGCGGUGCCCUUGUCUAAUCUAAUGGUCGUUUCUGAUGCAGUUAACAAAUUAUAUUGCCUUGUACGUACUACUUUUUAACAAAUUGGCUCCUACGAAGACUAAUGGAAGGAUCAUCAGACCAACGUUGUCAAAUGGCUGCUUCAAAUUUUUGGCCUUGGAGCUGAUCAGCAGCACGCGGACAUGCAUCAGGAAGCCGACGGACAGCCAGAGCAGGAAGGCGUGGAUCUUGAGCUGCAGCGACAACAACAACUUGGGCGUUGCCUGCAAAAAAAACAACAGUUCAAGUGCUCAAUCAAGUGUAAGUUUGCUUUCAGUCAAUUAUUGCAGUUCUACAAUGACACAUUCAGAUUCUUGCAUCCAAAGUUAGUUAUAUAGGAACAGGGAAAGAAUCUCCAAUGCUUAUUUACAUGGGAAAGAACACUCUUGUAACUUUGGUUCAGAUCCUCAGUCUAUCUGAAGCACCAUAGCAUAGAUUGAGUUUGCAAGCAAAAGGGUCACACAAUCUGACAGUACAAGGAGCAGUCUUUUCCUUCACAUCUUUGUUUUAGCUUGCAUCCGACAGUUGUGUGCUCCAAGAUUAGGCAACCAAAACUGAACUUAUGACUACAUGAGCGCAUGAACAACUGUUAAUAUCUCUUAUUUGACUAAUCUUUGGAUUGGCUGGAGACGAGAUUCUCUGGCUUUGGGGAUGGUCCUUUGGCGUUCUAUUGGGGUUCUAUUCAUGUGCACUAGGCACUUCUCAACACUUCCAUAAUUAUUCUAGAACCUCUUUAAAUUUGCAGUGCUCAUCAGAUUGUACAGGUUUUGCAGUCAACUAUUCAGAUUAUUGACUAGGGACGAUAUUUUCAGUCCUACUGAGUCUGCAAAGGAUGCGCCAAGCCAAGAUUAAUUAUGGUUUUUUUGUAAAUUGCAUCGGUUUACUUAUGUACCUGCUCCUUAGAUGAUUGUUAAUUUGUGAUUCAGUCGUGGAAAUUUGGGUGCUUUCUUCGAGUGUCCUGAAAAAUGGUUCAACGCGUGUUUGCCAGAAACUGUAGAUUAGCAAGACUCGUGUGUUGAGCAUGUCAGUCUAUGUGUGGGCACGAGCGAAAAUGUAAAUUAUGUUAGGGACGAGUUUCUGGAAAAAAUCCUGGAGACGCGCUGCUGCUGCUGCUGCUGCUCUUGAUAGCCAAAGUGGAGGCUGCAGUUCUAAGACUUCAAGGAGGAAAAGAAUACAUGGUUGCUUCUUGGAGAGGUGUGUUGUUUCCUUGCAGAAAAAUAAAUCUCUUAGAGUUGUUUAACUGAACCUGUUCCACUGUCAUUUUUAUGUUCAGAUAAAAAUUGUUAUUGGUUACUCAAUGCCUAAGCUGUUGUGGAUUAAUUUGAUUUGAAUUGGAUUGUACUCCAAGAGUCCACAAGAUGUCAUUUCCGAAUGUGGUACUAAUUUCAGAACAUUGCACCAUUUUCUAAAAAUAAGGCUGGGCAACAUGAGCCAACCACAUGGGAGGAUGUUUCAAGAGAAUAAACUCACUGUAGCUGCCGAAUUGGUAUUAGUAAGUUGCUGUUCCAACUUCCUAGAGAACAACAGGGGGUGUAUUCUCUUGUUUUUUUUACUAUUAUUAGUUGCAGCACAUGGCGACAAUGAUGAGCACUUGUAUUUUUAAGAUGCUGCACCUCUGUUUUUUGUUGACCUUUGAUUCAUGUAUAUAUGUAAAUUCUAUGGAAAUGUAUCAUAGGAAAUGCGAAUACAUAACUCUAUGGUUGAUGUAUCUAUUGAUAUUGAUGUGUCUAUUAAUUUUAAGUUCUUCUUUUUUCA